rnacentral:piRNA from 1 species
UGCAUUCGUAUCAGGAAGCUGCUGAUCA